rnacentral:rRNA from 1 species
AGGACGAACGCUGGCGGCGUGCUUAACACAUGCAAGUCGAGCGAUGAAGCUUCUCGGAAGUGGAUUAGCGGCGGACGGGUGAGUAACACGUGGGUAACCUGCCUCAUAGAGGGGAAUAGCCUUUCGAAAGGAAGAUUAAUACCGCAUAAGAUUGUAAUGUCGCAUGACAUGGCAAUUAAAGGAGUAAUCCGCUAUGAGAUGGACCCGCGUCGCAUUAGCUAGUUGGUGAGGUAACGGCUCACCAAGGCGACGAUGCGUAGCCGACCUGAGAGGGUGAUCGGCCACAUUGGGACUGAGACACGGCCCAGACUCCUACGGGAGGCAGCAGUGGGGAAUAUUGCACAAUGGGGGAAACCCUGAUGCCAGCAACGCCGCGUGAGUGAUGACGGUCUUCGGAUUGUAAAGCUCUGUCUUUAGGGACGAUAAUGACGGUACCUAAGGAGGAAGCCACGGCUAACUACGUGCCAGCCGCGGC